UCUAAGCUUUCAAAUGAUAUAUGAUUUAUGAUGAUUACUAAAAGAUUUGAUAGAGAAAAAGGAUAACAUAAAAAAGAGCGCCAAGUGUCCCACAGGUGGGACUGUGACAUUUAAGGGGUGAUAUUAAACUAUAAA